GUAUUGAAUUAUAUAACUCCAAAUCAACAAGCUAUUUAUCAGCCAAGAACUUCUCUUGUUUGCAUUUGCAACCCCCCAAAACCAAAAAACCAAAAAACCAAAAAACCAAAACCCCUCUCUCUCUUUUGCUUUGCUAGUCACGUAUGUUUGUUUGUUCAGAAAAGACAAGGAAAGGAUAGAAAAGAGACAGAAUCUCUAUUUCCCCCCCCCCCCUCAUCUCCUCUGAGGUUGUAAAGUAUUUCUUUGAUGAUCCCUCCGCAGGUUCACCUACGGAGA
rnacentral:misc_RNA from 1 species